CUAAUGUUAUAUGUGUAAUUGUGUUUAUUUGAUACUUGUAAUAAAUUGUUGCACCCAGUACUCGUUUUAUAUGAAGUUCAUAGUAAAGUAGAAUUUUUGGGUAAAUUCGCUUUUACGGAGAUCGAGUCGGGUCCAUUCCAGCUUUGGGUUGUUGUUUAAUUGUUAAAUGUAGCAUGGCUGCGUCCAGGCCUUAUUUUGGAUGGCAAAAUUCAAAGCAAUUUUUAUAACCCUCCCACCCACACCAAUAGUAUUAUUGGCUGGUAGCUUGCUUUGCUUCUUCUUAGCUUUAAUAGUGCGUUUUGACCAGUUCUGAGCUGAAUUAGCUCAUGCCUUAUAUUUGGGAAGCUUCAAUUUUCUUUUUAGUUAUAUUAUAUUGCUUAAUGUAUUUUUUAAACAGUAAUGUUUUCAUGUGAUUAUUUACUAAGCAGAGCUCUAUAACAGCUCAUAUGGGGUAGUAGUUUUCAUAUUCUACUUAUAGCAGUUAGCUUAUAUUAUGCCUUUUUGCUUUUUAAGACAUGCUUUAUAUUCAUUGCUCUAAUGUUAUAUGUGUAAUUGUGUUUAUUUGAUACUUGUAAUAAAUUGUUGCACCC
rnacentral:lncRNA from 1 species